rnacentral:rRNA from 1 species
GACGAACGCUGGCGGCGUGCUUAACACAUGCAAGUCGAACGGACAGGCCCUGCUUUUGUGGGGUGCUCGAGUGGCGAACGGGUGAGUAACACGUGUGUAACCUGCCCUUGACGUUGGGAUAACUUCAGGAAACUGGGGCUAAUACCGGAUAGGAGCUCCUGCUGCAUGGUGGGGGUUGGAAAGUUUCGGCGGUUGGGGAUGGACUCGCGGCUUAUCAGCUUGUUGGUGGGGUAGUGGCUUACCAAGGCUUUGACGGGUAGCCGGCCUGAGAGGGUGACCGGCCACAUUAGGACUGAGAUACGGCCCAGCCUCGUACGGGACGCAGCAGUGGGGAAUAUUGCACAAGGGGAGGAAGCCUGACGCAGCAACGCCGCGUGCGGGAUGACGGCCUUCGGGUUGUAAACCGCUUUCGCCUGAGACGAAGCGUGAGUGACGGUAAUGGGUAAAGAAGCACCGGCUAACUACGUG